UACGGAGGGUCCAAGCGUUAUCCGGAUUCACUGGGUUUAAAGGGUGCGUAGGUGGGCAAGUAAGUCAGUGGUGAAAUCUCCGGGCUUAACCCGGAAACUGCAUUGGAAACUACCUUGCUAGAGGUUUUGAGGGGGGACUGGAAUUCUCGGUGUAGCAGUGAAAUGCGUAGAUAUCGAGAGGAACACCAGUGGCGAAGGCGAGUCCCUGGAAAACACCUGACACUGAGGCACGAAAGCUAGGGGAGCAAACAGG
rnacentral:rRNA from 1 species